rnacentral:lncRNA from 1 species
UGCCACAUAUGUGAUCAUUUCUGUCACUUCAUUCGUAUCUCUUUUUAUUCCAAAUGUUCAAUCGGAAAAUUUCUCACUUUUUCUCACUUUUUCCUUUUUCACUAAUCAAAGUCAAUUCAUUGUCUUUCUUGACUUAUAAUAACACAUUUAACUUAUUUAACACUCACAUUAUUCAAUCAAGUCCAAAAAUGACAUUUUGGAAAAUUACAUUUUUG